rnacentral:rRNA from 1 species
UACGAAGGGGGCUAGCGUUGCUCGGAAUUACUGGGCGUAAAGGGCGCGUAGGCGGGUCAUUAAGUAGGGGGUGAAAGCCCAGGGCUCAACCCUGGAAUUGCCUUCUAAACUGGCGGCCUUGAGUAUGGCAGAGGUGUGUGGAACUCCGAGUGUAGAGGUGAAAUUCGUAGAUAUUCGGAAGAACACCAGUGGCGAAGGCGACACACUGGGCCAUUACUGACGCUGAGGCGCGAAAGCGUGGGGAGCAAACAGG